rnacentral:misc_RNA from 1 species
AGCAGCCGCGGUAAUUCCAGCUCCAAUAGCGUAUAUUAAAGUUGUUGCAGUUAAAAAGCUCGUAGUUGAAUUUCGGGAUCAAUAUGCUGGUCGUGCCAUUGGUACGUACUAGUAUUAUUGGUUUCUCCUUUCUGAUGAAUCAUGAUGUCAUUAAUUUGAUGUCAUGAGGAAUCAGGACUGUUACUUUGAAAAAUUAGAGUGUUUAAAGCAGGCUCGCGCUUGAAUACAUUAGCAUGGAAUAAUGAAAUAGGAUGUUUGAUUCUAUUUUGUUGGUUUCUAGGAUUGACGUAAUGAUUAAUAGGGAUAGUUGGGGGCAUUAGUAUUCAAUUGUCAGAGGUGAAAUUCUUGGAUUUAUUGAAGACUAACUACUGCGAAAGCAUUUGCCAAGGAUGUUUUCAUUAAUCAAGAACGAAAGUUAGGGGAUCGAAGACGAUCAGAUACCGUCGUAGUCUUAACCAUAAACUAUAGCCGACUAGGGAUCGGAUGAUGUUAAUUUUU